GACGAACGCUGGCGGCGUGCCUAAUACAUGCAAGUCGAACGCACAGUUUAUACCGUAGCUUGCUACACCAUAGACUGUGAGUUGCGAACGGGUGAGUAACGCGUAGGUAACCUGCCUGGUAGCGGGGGAUAACUAUUGGAAACGAUAGCUAAUACCGCAUAAUAUUGAUUAUUGCAUGAUAAUUGAUUGAAAGAUGCUAUUGCAUCACUACCAGAUGGACCUGCGUUGUAUUAGCUAGUAGGUGAGGUAACGGCUCACCUAGGCGACGAUACAUAGCCGACCUGAGAGGAUGGUCGGCCGGACUGGGAGGGUGACACGGCCCAGACGCCUAGGGGAGGCAGCAGUAGGGAAUCUUCGGCAAGGGACGAAAGUCUGACCGAGAAACGCCGCGUGAGUGAAGAAGGUUUUCGGAUCGGAAAGGUCUGUUGUAAGAGAAGAACGGGUGUGAGAGUGGAAAGUUCACACUGUGACGGUAACUGACCAGAAAGGGGCGGCUAACUACGUG
rnacentral:rRNA from 1 species